rnacentral:snoRNA from 1 species
CGGGGCAGAGAGGCCCUAUUGGGGCCGCUGUGACAGCUCCGCGUACGCCAGUGGCCCAAU